rnacentral:rRNA from 1 species
CAGGCCUAACACAUGCAAGUCGAACGAGGGCUUCGGCCCUAGUGGCGCACGGGUGAGUAACGCGUGGGAACCUGCCCUGUGGUACGGAAUAACUCCGGGAAACUGGAGCUAAUACCGUAUGCGUCCUGCGGGACAAAGAUUUAUCGCCAUGGGAUGGGCCCGCGUAGGAUUAGCUUGUUGGUGGGGUAACGGCCUACCAAGGCAACGAUCCUUAGCUGGUCUGAGAGGAUGAUCAGCCACACUGGGACUGAGACACGGCCCAGACUCCUACGGGAGGCAGCAGUGGGGAAUAUUGGACAAUGGGCGCAAGCCUGAUCCAGCAAUGCCGCGUGAGUGAUGAAGGCCUUCGGGUUGUAAAGCUCUUUCGCACGCGACGAUGAUGACGGUAGCGUGAGAAGAAGCCCCGGCUAACUUCGUGCCAGCAGCCGCGGUAAU